rnacentral:tRNA from 1 species
CCAGAUGUGGUGCAGCGGUAGCAUACUUCCUUGCCAAGGAAGGGGUCAGGGGUUCGAAUCCCCUCAUCUGGU